rnacentral:lncRNA from 1 species
CCCAGCAAUUGGAUUGGGCAGCCUGUCUUGACACAGCGCUGUGCUGAGUGCUUGAGGACGUGUUUCAACAGAUGGUUGGGGUUAGUGUGUGUCAUCACAUUCGAGUGGGGAUUAAGAGGAGGAAGGCUGCCCUGCUGGGGCUGUGUGGUCUUCUCUAAGUGAGAGUUGCAGGCAGAUCCAACUACUUGGCUUUGAGGGAAGAAGAGGAGGAAUUCAUUUGCAGCAGCCGCAAGAGAAGCAGUGUUUUCAGGUGCUGAGGGCCAGCCGCCAUCAGCUUGAGGGGGUGAAUCCGGCAAAUGACAUGAAGGUUCUUCACGGCAGAAUCACUGCAGGGAAGCUUCAAAGGACUCCAUCUGCAGAUGUUCUGAAAAUCUCUGAGUCUAGAAAUUGAUUAUUCAACCAGGAUACCUAACUCAAGAAACUCUGAAGACUGAGGCAUUUUGUCAGCUUC